rnacentral:rRNA from 1 species
AGAGUUUGAUCCUGGCUCAGAUUGAACGCUGGCGGCAUGCCUUACACAUGCAAGUCGAACGGCAGCAUGGGAGCAAUCCUGGUGGCGAGUGGCGAACGGGUGAGUAAAGUAUCGGAACGUGCCCAGUCGUGGGGGAUAACGUAGCGAAAGUUACGCUAAUACCGCAUACGAUCUAUGGAUGAAAGCGGGGGAUCGCAAGACCUCGCGCGAUUGGAGCGGCCGAUAUCAGAUUAGGUAGUUGGUGGGGUAAAGGCUCACCAAGCCGACGAUCUGUAGCUGGUCUGAGAGGACGACCAGCCACACUGGGACUGAGACACGGCCCAGACUCCUGCGGGAGGCAGCAGUGGGGAAUUUUGGACAAUGGGCGAAAGCCUGAUCCAGCCAUGCCGCGUGCAGGAUGAAGGCCUUCGGGUUG